UACGUAGGGGGCUAGCGUUGUCCGGAAUCAUUGGGCGUAAAGAGCGUGUAGGCGGUCCGGUAAGUCCGCUGUGAAAGUCGGGGGCUCAACCCUGGAAUGCCGGUGGAUACUGUCGGGCUAGAGUUCGGAAGAGGCAAGUGGAAUUCCUGGUGUAGCGGUGGAAUGCGCAGAUAUCAGGAGGAACACCUAUAGCGAAGGCAGCUUGCUGGGACGACACUGACGCUAAGGCGCGAAAGCGUGGGGAGCGAACAGG
rnacentral:rRNA from 1 species